GUAUCACACUCCUAAAAAAUGCAGAAGUUAGUUUUUUAGUUUAGUUUUGAAAGUAAAACAUUUCUGAUGUAAAACAUUACAGGUGUCACACAGAUCAAACCAUCUUUAUUUUAUAUAGAAAAGGAAGAGCUGCCCACUGCUGCAUGGAACAAUGACACUUAUAAGAACAAUCUAUUCUGUAGAGUGCACACAGCUGUUCUGCUCUCAUUUAUAUGUCAAUAAAUACCUGUCUGUAUAGUCUGUAUUAUUUAGAAUCUAAUACACAAACAUACAUUAACGCUGAGCCACACAUUGUUGUUUCUCACAGCUGUUACAACAUUGUUUCUUAAAGCUGUUUCAAGACGUGAGUGUCAUUUAGUACAUGAGGACUGUUUAUAUAAGGAACUGUUUAGAAAAUAAAAAUUUGUUAUUGCCACUAAUUUAUUAAUUUAUUGAUUUCUGAACCGUCACAAACAGUAUUUUGCCAUGUUUUUAAAGCAGUGCUGACUACAGCUACAUGGACAACCGUGGAACCUGGUAAGAACAUAUAGACAGUGAUCUUGGUCAUCGCAUGGCCUCUCAUUAAACAGGAGCCACGUAAAUCCUGAAUGUUUUAGACAGUAAUUACAUUUCUCCACUGUUCAUAGCUGAUUUCACAAACGACUCAACUCAACUCAACUUGUUCUGUGUUGUUGGAAUCAUGGUGUUGGUCAUUGCAGCAUUAGCUGUGUAUGUUACACCCAAGCCGGUGUGUAAAGACCACAAUUGUGUGUAAAACUCCAGGAGCAAAACUGAGCCACAUCCAGAGAAUCAGUGGCUCCUCCUCUUCACACUGACGAGCCUUGGCUGAGACACUGUAAUGGAAUGUAGCAGGUUUCCUCAGUGAACAUCAAUAAAACAUUUACAAAUACGUUAUAAUGAAACCAAGAAUGAAUAUUUAGCAAUACACUUAAAUAAAUGGUGACACAGUC